rnacentral:rRNA from 1 species
GGCAUAUCAAAAAGCGGAGGAAAAGAAACCAACUGGGAUUACCUUAGUAACGGCGAGUGAAGCGGUAAAAGCUCAAAUUUGAAAUCUGGUACUUUCAGUGCCCGAGUUGUAAUUUGUAGAAUUUGUCUUUGAUUAGGUCCUUGUCUAUGUUCCUUGGAACAGGACGUCAUAGAGGGUGAGAAUCCCGUUUGGCGAGGAUACCUUUUCUCUGUAAGACUUUUUCGAAGAGUCGAGUUGUUUGGGAAUGCAGCUCAAAGUGGGUGGUAAAUUCCAUCUAAAGCUAAAUAUUGGCGAGAGACCGAUAGCGAACAAGUACAGUGAUGGAAAGAUGAAAAGAACUUUGAAAAGAGAGUGAAAAAGUACGUGAAAUUGUUGAAAGGGAAGGGCAUUUGAUCAGACAUGGUGUUUUUUGCAUGCACUCGCCUCUCGUGGGCUUGGGCCUCUCAAAAAUUUCACUGGGCCAACAUCAAUUCUGGCAGCAGGAUAAAUCAUUAAGAAUGUAGCUACUUCGGUAGUGUUAUAGCUUUUUGGAAUACUGUUAGCCGGGAUUGAGGACUGCGCUCGGCAAGGAUGUUGGCAUUAAGGCCUACCCGUCUU